UGGCUCAGAUGGUAAAGCACCUGCUUGCAAUGCAGGAGACCCAGGUUCGAUCCCUGG
rnacentral:tRNA from 1 species